ACAGCAGUAGCCGCGGGAAUACGUAGGUGGCAAGCGUUGUCCGGAAUUAUUGGGCGUAAAGGGCUCGCAGGCGGUUUCUUAAGCCUGAUGUGAAAGCCCCCGGCUCAACCGGGGAGGGUCAUUGGAAACUGGGAAACUUGAGUGCAGAAGAGGAGAGUGGAAUUCCACGUGUAGCGGUGAAAUGCGUAGAGAUGUGGAGGAACACCAGUGGCGAAGGCGACUCUCUGGUCUGUAACUGACGCUGAGGAGCGAAAGCGUGGGGAGCGAACAGGAUUAGAUACCCCAGUAGUCCCUGUCUCUUUACA
rnacentral:rRNA from 1 species